rnacentral:tRNA from 1 species
GCUGGGGUGGCGGAAUUGGCAUACGCGCACGUUUGAGGGGCGUGUCCUUACCCGGGAUGCGGGUUCAAGUCCCGCCCUCAGCA